rnacentral:rRNA from 1 species
UACGGAGGGUGCAAGCGUUAAUCGGAAUUACUGGGCGUAAAGGGUGCGUAGGCGGUUCGGUAAGUCUGUUGUGAAAUCCCCGGGCUCAACCUGGGAAUGGCAAUGGAUACUGGCGGGCUAGAGUGUGUCAGAGGAUGGUGGAAUUCCCGGUGUAGCGGUGAAAUGCGUAGAGAUCGGGAGGAACAUCAGUGGCGAAGGCGGCCAUCUGGGACAACACUGACGCUGAAGCACGAAAGCGUGGGGAGCAAACAGG